UGUCCCUUUCCCGGUCCCUGCCCCUGCCCUAAUCCCGCCCCUCUCCGGAUCCCCGGGGACCCCAGUCCCCCCCUCUUGGGGGGUCGAAGAGGAGAGAGCCAGCCACAGCCCCGUGCGCCUUCGCCGCGCCCGGGACCCCAGCCCGACCGGCUCGGGAGUCGAGGAGAAGAAAGAGAUCGUCAGAGAGCCACAGAGCCCGAGAGAGAGCGACAGAGAGCCACAGAAAGACCACCACAGCCCGGGCGCCCUCGUCGCGUUUAGAGAGAGAGAGAGAGAGAGAGAGAGAGAGA